rnacentral:rRNA from 1 species
CCGACCUUGAAAUACCACCCUUUAAUGUUUGAUGUUCUAACGUGGAUCCGUAAUCCGGGUUGCGGACAGUGUCUGGUGGGUAGUUUGACUGGGGCGGUCUCCUCCUAAAGAGUAACGGAGGAGCACGAAGGUUGGCUAAUCCUGGUCGGACAUCAGGAGGUUAGUGCAAUGGCAUAAGCCAGCUUGACUGCGAGCGUGACGGCGCGAGCAGGUGCGAAAGCAGGUCAUAGUGAUCCGGUGGUUCUGAAUGGAAGGGCCAUCGCUCAACGGAUAAAAGGUACUCCGGGGAUAACAGGCUGAUACCGCCCAAGAGUUCAUAUCGACGGCGGUGUUUGGCACCUCGAUGUCGGCUCAUCACAUCCUGGGGCUGAAGUAGGUCCCAAGGGUAUGGCUGUUCGCCAUUUAAAGUGGUACGCGAGCUGGGUUUAGAACGUCGUGAGACAGUUCGGUCCCUAUCUGCCGUGGGCGCUGGAGAACUGAGGGGGGCUGCUCCUAGUACGAGAGGACCGGAGUGGACGCAUCACUGGUGUUCGGGUUGUCAUGCCAAUGGCACUGCCCGGUAGCUAAAUGCGGAAGAGAUAAGUGCUGAAAGCAUCUAAGCACGAAACUUGCCCCGAGAUGAGUUCUCCCUGAGACUUAGAGUCUCCUGAAGGAACGUUGAAGACGACGACGUUGAUAGGCCGGGUGUGUAAGCGCAGCGAUGCGUUGAGCUAACCGGUACUAAUGAACCGUGAGGCUUAACCUU